rnacentral:lncRNA from 1 species
GCCAGAAGGAUGGGGUGGCUCCCACUCCUGCUGCUUCUGACUCAAUGCUUAGGGGUCCCUGGGCAGCGCUCGCCAUUGAAUGACUUCCAAGUGCUCCGGGGCACAGAGCUACAGCACCUGCUACAUGCGGUGGUGCCCGGGCCUUGGCAGGAGGAUGUGGCAGAUGCUGAAGAGUGUGCUGGUCGCUGUGGGCCCUUAAUGGACUGCCGGGCCUUCCACUACAACGUGAGCAGCCAUGGUUGCCAACUGCUGCCAUGGACUCAACACUCGCCCCACACGAGGCUGCGGCGUUCUGGGCGCUGUGACCUCUUCCAGAAGAAAGGCAAGUGGGGGUGGAGAGGGGCAGGGUGGGAGACAGGGGACCUCAGCCCAAGUUGAUCUUCUGUCUCUUGCUCCCAGACUACGUACGGACCUGCAUCAUGAACAAUGGGGUUGGGUACCGGGGCACCAUGGCCACGACCGUGGGUGGCCUGCCCUGCCAGGCUUGGAGCCACAAGUUCCCAAAUGAUCACAAGUGAGACAAACACCUUCCCUCCGUCCCGGCCUGGGGCCUUCCCCCAGCACACACUAUAGUGAUGCUCUGGGCCCUCAGGUACACGCCCACUCUCCGGAAUGGCCUGGAAGAGAACUUCUGCCGUAACCCUGAUGGCGACCCCGGAGGUCCUUGGUGCUACACAACAGACCCUGCUGUGCGCUUCCAGAGCUGCGGCAUCAAAUCCUGCCGGGAGGCCGCGUGUGUCUGGUGCAAUGGCGAGGAAUACCGCGGCGCGGUAGACCGCACGGAGUCAGGGCGCGAGUGCCAGCGCUGGGAUCUUCAGCACCCGCACCA